AGAAAGAUAACUAAGUGGUUAAAAGUGAUAGACUGUAAAUCUAUUGACUAUAGUCUUCGUAGGUUCGAAUCCUGCUCUUUCUU
rnacentral:tRNA from 1 species